AAUUUACAAGGACGCUCUGUGUUGCGAUCGUAGCAGUUAUUCUCCGCCACUGGAUUAAUAUAACCGGAAUUUCUACUCUUUUACUUAAUUAUCAGCACUCUGUCCUGGUCAUCUUUUGGAUUAAGUUUUUAAAUCUCUGAGAGAGGAUUCAGCAUUUUUUUUCAUUUUUGGAUUCAAGGAAUAUUCUACGAAAGGAGAAACAAAAUUCUGCUUGAAGGCUUCUCCAGAAAGUUUCUGUCAAGACAACAGUCUUCAAGGCUAACCAGUGAGAGCCAAGUCGCUCUCUGCUCCCAAGUAUAAUUUUUGCUGCAAACCAACAACAGCUACCUUGUAGUAGCCUUCAAUUGUAAGUCUUGCUACCAAUUAUUUAUUCAGACAUAAAUAGAUAGCUCUGGAAUUCAGACUAGUCAUCCCUCACUCAGCUGUGAACUUCAUUCCGAAUUCAUGAAUGAUUCAAUAAUACAUACAAAUAUAUACAUGUAGGUCUGGAAUUCAGACUAGUCAUACAUGUAGAUCACUCAGCACUGAACUUCAUUACCAAUUGAUAAAUAAUUCAAUAAUACAUAAAAAUAGAUAGGUCUGGAAUUCAGACUAGUCAUUCAUCAACCAGCAGUAAACUUCAUUCCCAAUUCAUAAAUAAUUCAAUAAUACAUUUAGGUCUAGAAUUCAGACUAGUCAUCUAUCACUCAGCAGUGAAUUCAAUAAUACAUAAAUAGAUAGGUCUGGAAUCUAGACUAGUCAUACAUCACUCAGCAGUGAACUUCAUUCUCAGUUCACCCUCCAUCCAUCUCUUCAUUGUGCCCAUGCUGAUAUUCACUUGUUCACAAUUUAUUGAAUGGCACUGUGCGUGAAAUGCGUUUACAAUAUGGCCGCCACAUGCAUUUUGCAUUUGGGAGUCCUGCCCCCCAAACAGGUUGCGUUGAAUGGGGGAGAUUGCUAGUAUUUGUAAACUCUCAAACGUUUUAGCAAAAUUGCAUCUGCAUGUGAAGCCAAUUUGUAAAGUGAUUGUUGUAAUGCGUUGAGAGUUACGUGCAGUUUCAUUGAUGAUUGAAAGUCAGCUCUUCAAUUCGAAAUGCAAAUGUAGACCUGCCUAUACAUUUAAUGUACAUGUUUGUUGUACUUUUUAUUGAGAGAGAGAUAGAGAGAAAGAGACAGAGAGAAACAGAGAGAGAUAGAGAGAGAGAGAGACAGAGAGAGAGUUUGCAGAGGGUGUGUGCUCUCUUUCCUAAUAUUAGAUUCAUUAUUCAUACAUCACUCAUACAAACUUGACAUCCCAUACUGCAUGUUAUU